UACGGAGGGUGCGAGCGUUGUCCGGAAUCACUGGGCGUAAAGGGCGCGUAGGUGGCCUGUGGAAGUCUGCGGUGAAAGCCCGGCGCUCAACGCCGGGUCGGCCGUGGAUACUCUCGGGCUCGAGCUUACUAGAGGCAGAUGGAAUUCCGGGUGUAGCGGUGGAAUGCGUAGAGAUCCGGAAGAACACCGGUGGCGAAGGCGGUCUGCUGGGCAGUAGCUGACACUGAGGCGCGACAGCGUGGGGAGCAAACAGG
rnacentral:rRNA from 1 species